rnacentral:tRNA from 1 species
GCUCAGAUCUCCGAGUGGUUAAGGAUAUAGACUUGGAAUCUAUUGGGAUUUUCCCGCGUAGGUUGGAACCCUGUUCUGAGCG